UGCGUAGGCGGCCUGACAAGUCAGAAGUGAAAGGCUACGGCUCAACCGUGGUAAGCUUUUGAAGCUGUCAGGCUUGAGUGCAGGAGAGGAGAGCGGAAUUCCUGGUGUAGCGGUGAAAUGCGUAGAUAUCAGGAAGAACACCAGUAGCGAAGGCGGCUCUCUGGACUGAAACUGACACUGAGGCACGAAAGCGUGGGGAGCGAACA
rnacentral:rRNA from 1 species